rnacentral:lncRNA from 1 species
CACCCCGAGGCUUCACCUGCCGCCGCCCGCGGAAGCAUCCUUCCGGCCUCUGCCCCCCGGAGCCCACACCCUGCCACGCUGUGCUGGCCACGAGCUUCGCUGCUCCCCGAUUUCCCCUCCCUUCGCAUGGGCCCGGCCCGAGAACUCAUUCAAGCUCUGUCCUGGCCGUUUCCCAACUCAGCCGCAUCUGACCUCAUUCCCCUAAUGUUCCGGGGCCGCCCCUGCAUCGCCCGGGCUCCGUGCCCCCAUCCAACCCCAGUGGCCCGCGGCCGGCCACUCUCCACCCUCCUGCGGGGCUGUGCCUCCCUCUUCCACUUGGGCCCGCGACCCCAGGACCCAGGACCCAGUCACGGCCACUCGGGGACCCCAACCUCGGCUCUCCACCACUUGUUUACUGGGCACUGAGCUCGCUGUGUCCCCGGCGCAGGAGCAGGCCCCCGAGGCCGCGGCCCGCCAUGCAGAAGCACUACACUGCCCACUCCGUCAAGGGUGCCCGGACCCUUGCCGAACGCUGCUGCCUGGAUCCAGAGUUAGGGCACAAAAAAGGAUGCUGUCACCACUGGCACCAGGACCCAGCGGCCCCUCGAGCCCAUGGGCCCUGUCGGCCAUCCCCCCAGUCACACUGGCAACAGGCCUACUACAGCCACCGGGGGUGUGGCAGUGGCUGGUACCGGGGCCCCAAGGCCCCUGUCCUACAGCAGCAGAAGCAGCGGCAGCCCCAGCCCCCAACUCCCAGCCCCACAUGGCAGCGGCUCAACCUGGUCCACAGGGCCCAGAAGGGGCCGCCUGAAACUGUCGCUG